GUUUGACCUCAAAUCAGGUAGGAUUACCCGCUGAACUUAAGCAUAUCAAUA
rnacentral:rRNA from 4 species